GCCAGUAUGGUGUAGUGGUUUGAGUGUUGGACUAUGAUUCUGGAGACCAGGGUUCGAAUCCCUGCUCAGCUA
rnacentral:tRNA from 1 species